rnacentral:rRNA from 1 species
GAACGCGGAAGAGGGCAAACCGAAGGUAGAAAUACCUUCGGGGUACGGACUGCUUUUAGGACUCAAUCUGUUAACCGAACGGCAUGGGAAGGCCGGUCAGAGAGUGUGAGAACCACGUAGGUGAAAACGGAGAGAGCUGCGCAGAUUCCAGAGUACGGCCAGACACGUGAAACCUGGUCGGAAGAUGGGGGGACCACCCUCCAACCCUAAAUACUACCCAGUGACCGAUAGCGUAUAGUACUGUGAAGGAAAGGUGAAAAGCACCCCGGGAGGGGAGUGAAAUAGAACCUGAAACCCUGUGCUUACAAGCACUUAGAGCACGUCAAAGUGUGAUAAGGUACCUAUUGUAGAAUGGUCCGGCGAGUUAUUGUAUGCAGCGAGGUUAAGUAGUUCAGCUACGGAGCCGAAGUGAGAGCGAGUGUUAACAGCACGUUCAGUUGCAUGCAAUAGACCCGAAACCGGGUGACCUAUCCAUGUCCAGGAUGAAGUGAGGGUAAAACCUCAUGGAGGUCCGAACCCACUCCCGUUGAAAUGGUAGGGGAUGAGGUGUGGAUAGCGGAGAAAUUCCAAUCGAACCCGGAGAUAGCUGGUUCUCCCCGAAAUAGUUUUAGGACUAGCCUCGUGAUUAAGAUUAUCGGAGGUAAAGCACUGAAUGGCCUAGGGGUCGAGAGAUUACCGAAGCCUAUCAAACUCUGAAUGCCGAAUAAUCAUGCACGGGAGUCAGACUGUGUGAGAUAAGUUUCAUAGUCGAAAGGGAAACAGCCCAGACCUACAGCUAAGGUCCCAAAGUACGUUUAAGUGGAAAACGAUGUGAAAUUGCGUAGACAACCAGGAUGUUGGCUUAGAAGCAGCCAUACAUUAAAAGAGUGCGUAAUAGCUCACUGGUCGAGUGACUUUGCGCGGAAAAUUUAACGGGGCUAAAACGUACACCGAAGCUUAGGCUUGUCACAAUGUGACAGGGGUAGGGGAGCGUUGAAUGAGGGGUGAAGUCGUAGCGAAAGCGACGGUGGACUUCAUUCAAGUGAGAAUGCCGGAAUGAGUAGCGAGAAUUAUGUGAGAAUCAUAAUGGCCGAAAGCCUAAGGUUUUUGGAGGAAGGUUCGUCCGCUCCAAGUAAGUCGGAAGCUAAGGUGAGGCUGAAAAGCGUAGCCGAUGCACAAACGGUUGAAAUUCCGUUACCACAGAAAGAUUUAAACUAAGGGACACUUUUGAAGAGCUGAUGCCGGGUGUUGGUUACCCCGGUCGUAAGGGAACGAAAUUAAGUAGUGAAGUCAGCGUGGAUGAAGGCGAGAAAAGCUUAGUGUAUAUCUUAUGUGUCCGUACCGCAAACCGACACAGGUAGGUAGGAAGAGAAUUCUAAGGCCAACGGGAGAAGGGUAGUUAAGGAACUCGGCAAAAUGUCCCCGUAACUUCGGAAUAAGGGGAGGUUUCUACGGAAACCCGCAGAGAAUAGUCCCAGGCAACUGUUUAUCAAAAACACAGCUCUAUGCUAAAUCGAAAGAUGACGUAUAUGGGGUGACGCCUGCCCGGUGCCGGAAGGUUAAGAGGAGGAGUGAGAGCCCUGAAUCGAAGCCCCGGUAAACGGCGGCCGUAACUAUAACGGUCCUAAGGUAGCGAAAUUCCUUGUCAGGUAAGUUCUGACCCGCACGAAUGGCGUAAUGAUCUGGGAGCUGUCUCAACUGCCCGCCCGGCGAAAUUGUAGUACCGGUGAAGAUGCCGGUUACCCGCGACUAGACGGAAAGACCCCAUGGAGCUUUACUGUAGCUUAAUAUUGGAUUUCGGCAUUUCAUGUACAGGAUAGGUGGGAGACUAGGAAACAUAGGCGUCAGCUUAUGUGGAGUCGUCCUUGGGAUACCACUCUUGGAGUGCUGAAAUUCUAACCUGCAGCCCUGAAUCGGGUUGGGGGACAUUGUUAGGUGGGCAGUUUGACUGGGGCGGUCGCCUCCUAAAGAGUAACGGAGGCGUUCAAAGGUUCGCUCAGCUUGAACGGAAAUCAAGCAAAAGAGUGCAAACGCAGAAGCGAGCCUAACUGCGAGACUGACGGGUCGAGCAGUAACGAAAGUUGGAGUUAGUGAUCCGGUGGUAUGUGAGUGGAAAUGCCAUCGCUCAACGGAUAAAAGUUACCCUGGGGAUAACAGGCUGAUCUCCCCCAAGAGUCCACAUCGACGGGGAGGUUUGGCACCUCGAUGUCGGCUCAUCGCAUCCUGGGGCUGUAUUCGGUCCCAAGGGUUUGGCUGUUCGCCAAU